rnacentral:rRNA from 1 species
UACGUAGGGAGCAAGCGUUAUCCGGAUUUAUUGGGUGUAAAGGGUGCGUAGACGGGAUUACAAGUUGGUUGUGAAACCCCUCAGCUCAACUGAGGAACUGCAACCAAAACUAUAAUUCUUGAGUGCAGGAGAGGAAAGUGGAAUUCCUAGUGUAGCGGUGAAAUGCGUAGAUAUUAGGAAGAACACCGGUGGCGAGGGCGACUUUCUGGACUGUAACUGACGUUGAGGCACGAAAGUGUGGGGAGCAAACAGG